rnacentral:rRNA from 1 species
GACGAACGCUGGCGGCGUGCUUAACACAUGCAAGUCGAACGGAAAGGCCCUGCUUUUGUGGGGUGCUCGAGUGGCGAACGGGUGAGUAACACGUGAGUAACCUGCCCUUGACUUUGGGAUAACUUCAGGAAACUGGGGCUAAUACCGGAUAGGAGCUCCUGCUGCAUGGUGGGGGUUGGAAAGUUUAGGGGGUUGGGGAUGGACUCGCGGCUUAUCAGCUUGUUGGGGGGGUAGGGGCUUACCAAGGCUUUGACGGGUAGCCGGCCUGAGAGGGUGACCGGCCAAAUGGGGACGGAGAGACGGCCCAGACUCCUACGGGAGGCAGCAGGGGGGAAUAUUGCACAAUGGGCGGAAGCCUGAUGCAGCAACGCCGCGUGCGGGAUGACGGCCUUCGGGUGGUAAACCGCUUUCGCCUGUGACGAAGCGUGAGUGACGGUAAUGGGUAAAGAAGCACCGGCUAACUACGUG